UACAGAGGGUGCAAGCGUUAAUCGGAAUUACUGGGCGUAAAGCGUGCGUAGACGGUUAUGUAAGUUAGGUGUGAAAGCCCCGGGCUCAACCUGGGAAUGGCGAUGGAUACUGGCUCGCUAGAGUGCGGUAGAGGAGAGUGGAAUUCCCGGUGUAGCAGUGAAAUGCGUAGAGAUCGGGAGGAACAUCAGUGGCGAAGGCGGCUCUCUGGACCAGCACUGACACUGAGGCACGAAAGCGUGGGGAGCAAACAGG
rnacentral:rRNA from 1 species